CUUGCUUAAUUGUACAUGAAGACCUGCCAGAGUCCUGGAGAGCGGUAAAUGUAUGCUGACAGGAUCUGAAGACACUCUGUAAGGUCUACUCUCCAAAGUAUGGCCACAUAAGUGAAACACUGUCUUCUCCCGUGAGCGGCCGUUUGUGCUGCACCUCAUCACAGCUUUAUGACAUUCUUUGUAGGCCCUCAGCAACAGCUCCUCGUCACAGGCACACCACUCUUGGAACAUCAACAGUAUGUUCUUUAGCUGCAUCUGUAUAGCAAUGGCUGCUUCCCAGUCAGGGUCCACCUCAAUGUGCUGACCAAUCUGUCUUUUUAUCUCUU
rnacentral:lncRNA from 1 species